ensembl:lncRNA SOCS2-AS1 SOCS2 antisense RNA 1
AAUUUGGGAACGAGAUGCCCGGGGAUGCAACCAGCCCCGCGCUCGGAGGCGGCGGUCGGAGUUCCGUGCGCAGAGGGCACACAAAAGCCUCGAGGAUCAUUGCCUCGACCCCAUCCCCCACCGCGCGGCGACGCCCCCUACGGGCUGGGACACCUCCACUCUCGGACUGCUGCCGGGUUUCCCUCCGGCUGCGACCCUGGAGAGUUUGCCAUCUCCGUACCACCACCACCACCACACACAGCACCCUCAAGACUCCCUGUGAUCCUGGGAUGCACUCAACGAAGAGUGUGUGGCCCAGGAUUUGAUGGAAAUGCUACAAGAGAAGCAGGCUCUCCCCUUCUGAAAUGAUGAGUGAUAAUGACCAUACAGGUCAACUUUUCCACCACUUGGAGGGAGCCUGUCAAAGAACAAAGGCAACAGAGAAGAGAGCAGAGCUGAGGUUGGGUGAGAGGGAGAAAUUCCUGAGUGCUUGAAUCCCACAUGCCGGAAGCCGCACCACACUUGGACUUCUCAAUACAGGAGCCACUGAGAAACCAAGUCAUGCUGAAGACCUGGAAAUCCCAGCAGGCUGCAAACCAGCUGCAACUACAAUGGGUCAGCCCUUUUGAGAUGCUGCUGACUACCCACUUAUCUGCCAAGUUAGCCAGUGUUAAGCCAUGGAUUCACCACGCUCAGAUAAAACCUGCCCCUCUGGGAUCCCUCCAGAAAAAAACAGGCAUGCUGUUGUGAACCCUAAGAUGGCCUUAAGUUAAUAUUCAAUGCCCAGCCAAAGACCCUAAAUAAGAAGUCAUAAAGGAAACAUGUGCUUUUCAGGUACCAAUCACCCUCCAGAUCUAAGAAUGGCUUCAGGCUGGGGCUGCAGUCACCUCUUUGCCCAGCUUCUCCCCUGCCCUAUUCUGCUUCACUUGCAUCCUUAAAGGUUCCACCCAAGAGCUCUUCUACAAGAAAGCACCUAUAAAGCCAGACACAUUGGCUUAUGCCUAUAAUCCUAGCACUUUGGGAGGCCAAGGUAGGAGGAUGGCUUGAGGCCAGGAGUUCAAGACCAGCCUGGGCAACUUAGUGAGGCCCCGUCUCUAUAAAAAAUAAAAAAAUUAACCAGGUGUGGUGGUGCACGUCUCUAGUCUCAGCUACUCAGGAGGCUGUGGCAGGAAGAUGGCUUGAGCCCAGGAGGUUGAGGCUGCAGUGAACUAAGAUCAUGCCACUGCACCCAUCUUGGGCAACAGAAUGAGAUCCUGUCUCUAAAAAAAUAAAAACAAUUUACAACAGUAAGCACCUGUACACAAGCCCCAUCUCCAGUCCUGUUUCUAGGGCUUCCAAUUUAACACACCUAGAGGCUGGGCAUAGUAGCUCAUGCCUGUAAUCCCAAUACUUUGGGAGGCUGAGGCAAGUGAAGCACUUGAGGUCAGGAGUUCGAGACCAGCCUGGCCAACAUGGCAAAACCCCAUCUCUACUAAAAAUGCAAACAUUAGCUGGGCAUGGUGGCACAUGCCUGUAAUCCCAGCUACUCGGGAGGCUGAGACAGGAGAAUCACUUGAACCCAGGAGGUGGAGGUUACAGUGAGCCAAGAUCACACCACUGUACCACAGCCUGAGCAACGAAAGAAGACUCUGUCUAAAAAAAGUAAAAAAUAAAAUAAAACACACCUGGAGCUUUCUACAUCCCGUAGGUAUCUGUGUUUCUUUCUCGUGCCCUAUUUGACAGAGUUUCUUGAGCUCGAAUCUAUGUCUACUUUAUCUUAGCCUUCCUGUAACACCUGUCUCAAUGUCUUGCACAUAUAGAAUGCUCAGUAGAGUUUUUGGAAUAAGUAUUUCAUAUUUUGGAAUCAUUUACAGAGCAGGGGUUAAAUUCCUGGCUUAUUUUCUCUAGUUCUUAUUCUGCACCCCCUGCCCUGCAAACCUGCCACAUAAGCAGGUCAUUUCUCCACCCCUCAAGAUGAGGGCAAACAACUUCAGAAACUGCUCACAAACAGGCCCCUGUGGAAAUACCUCCAGGCCACUGGCAUUCCUGCCUGCUGCCAGAGACCUGGGAGGCUGUUCACUGCCUUGAGUAUUUUUGUUCUUUCCAACUUCUCUGCCCCAUCAAGUUAAACAGUCCUUA